AUACGUAGGGGGCGAGCGUUGUCCGGAAUGAUUGGGCGUAAAGGUCGCGUAGGCGGCCCGGUAAGUCUGGAGUGAAAGUCCUGUUUUUAAGAUGGGAAUUGCUUUGGAUACUGUCGGGCUUGAGUGCAGGAGAGGUAAGUGGAAUUCCCAGUGUAGCGGUGAAAUGCGUAGAGAUUGGGAGGAACACCAGUGGCGAAGGCGACUUACUGGACUGUAACUGACGCUGAGGCGCGAAAGUGUGGGGAGCAAACAGGAUUAGAUACCCUGGUAGUCCACACUGUAAACGAUGAAUGCUAGGUGUAGGGGGUAUCGACCCCUUCUGUGCCGCAGUCAACACAAUAAGCAUUCCGCCUGGGGAGUACGGCCGCAAGGUUGAAACUCAAAUGAAUUGACGGGG
rnacentral:rRNA from 1 species